rnacentral:rRNA from 1 species
UACAGAGGGUGCAAGCGUUAAUCGGAAUUACUGGGCGUAAAGCGCGCGUAGGUGGUUUGUUAAGUUGGAUGUGAAAUCCCCCGGGCUCAACCUGGGAACUGCAUUCAAAACUGACAAGCUAGAGUAUGGUAGAGGGUGGUGGAAUUUCCUGUGUAGCGGUGAAAUGCGUAGAUAUAGGAAGGAACACCAGUGGCGAAGGCGACCACCUGGACUGAUACUGACACUGAGGUGCGAAAGCGUGGGGAGCAAACAGG